rnacentral:lncRNA from 1 species
CACAGCCAUCCUGGGGUCACACAGUGCAUCACUCACGUGGGUGCAGUAAUGCUGGUGUGAACAAACCUGCUGCGCGGCCGGCAUGUAAGAGUCUAGCACAGACAGCUGUGUACAGUACAUAGUACUUGACAAUGAUCAUCAACGAUUAUGGUCCUGGUUUAUGUAUUUACUACACUGAAAACAAAGGACCAAAGGCCGCUGUAGGCGAUGAUCAUCCCCAAUCACGGCCCUCGACCGGAGCGCACUUCCCGGCAUCUGGAGCCAUCUGCAUCUGUCUCCUUUGCAGUCUGCCGGUAAUUGGGUCUGAAAUCACACGCGUCCCACUCAGCUACAUUUACAUUUCCUUCUUGCGCUGUUUUUAUAUCCAGAGCUGUUGA